CCUACGGGAGGCAGCAGUGGGAAUAUUGCACAAUGGGGGGAACCCUGAUGCAGCAACGCCGCGUGAGUGAUGAAGGUUUUCGGAUCGUAAAGCUCUGUCUUUGGGGAAGAUAAUGACGGUACCCAAGGAGGAAGCCACGGCUAACUACGUGCCAGCAGCCGCGGUAAU
rnacentral:rRNA from 1 species